rnacentral:lncRNA from 12 species
GUAUUUACUUUUUAUGGUGAAAAUGGAAAGAGUGAGAAUCAGGAAUCAUUUAGAACAAACUUUCCACGUUCAGUUCUUACAAAUACAAAAGAGAGUGAACAUAUGGUAGUUGACAUGAAGCCCUAUCCUAUUGACAGCAAAUUACCAGAUAUUGGUAACCGUGUAACAGCCCCAUCGGUAUCCACUCCAAAAUCUGAUAGUGAUUCAUAAGUAAGGAAUCCCCACCUAGCAACUGAUUGGCUGUCAGAAAAGUGUGAAGAAAUACCAAAUAAUGAAGAAAAUCAGAGGGAAAAUGAGUGUGCUAGUGAAGCAAGCAACAGCGGAAAACAUGUGACUUUUGUUGGAAAACAUUGCAUAGUUGCACCUAAGAAUGUUGGUUUGCAAAAAUCCCUCUCCUGAAGAUGGUGGACAUGGCUCAGAGGAUGACCAAGAUAGCUUCAGACCUUCCUCUUCUCCACUGAAUCAUUCUUCUCCUAGCGAAAUUUCUGGAACAAGUUUAUGAGGGUGAGCUUUAGAGUCUUUUGGUUCAGCAGCUCCUCAGAAGCCCCCCUGUGAGAGGGAGUCAUCUCCGUUGGUGUGUCCACAAGCCAGUGUGGGUAGGCUUACUUACGUGUCUGAACAACAGAGCACCUGUCCCACUACAGCCUCAGAUCAUGGCCUUGAGGAUCGCAAGGUGGGCAGCAUUUCUGUUAUUUCUUUAGGAAGCCUUGUGAUUUUAAAGUGAUACUGAUAUAGCAGUCAGACCCAAGUUUAGGCCUGUGUAAAUUCUGUUGCUUGUUUUACCUAAAGGGGGUGUGUGUGUGUGUGUGUCUGUAUAUGUGUUUUGAUCAAAUAACUACUCAUGCUGGUUAGGCUGUAGAAGUCCAACUCUUUAGUAUCUGCUCUCUAAAAUCUUUCAGUCUGGUGGAGGGUACUUGGAAGGCACACUGGAAUGAA